GGUGGGAUGGUCCAGUGGUUAGGGCACUAGGCUGGGACCUGGGAAAUCUGGGUUCAAUUCCCUGCUCUGUUG
rfam:Chelonia mydas contig51391, whole genome shotgun sequence.